rnacentral:rRNA from 1 species
UACGUAGGGGGCAAGCGUUGUCCGGAAUCAUUGGGCGUAAAGAGCGUGUAGGCGGCUCGAUAAGUCUGCUGUGAAAGUCCAGGGCUCAACCCUGGAAGGCCGGUGGAAACUGUCGGGCUAGAGUCCGGAAGAGGCGAGUGGAAUUCCUGGUGUAGCGGUGAAAUGCGCAGAUAUCAGGAGGAACACCAAUGGCGAAGGCAGCUCGCUGGGGACGGUACUGACGCUGAGACGCGAAAGCGUGGGGAGCAAACAGG